AUUGAACGCUGGCGGCAGGCCUAACACAUGCAAGUCGAGCGGAUGAAGGUAGCUUUCUCCUGUAUUCAGCGUCGGACGGGUGUGUAAUUCCUAUUUAUCUGCCUGUUAUUUUGUGAUAACGUCCGUUAACGGGCGCUAAUACCGCAUACGUCCUGUUGUUGAAAGUGGGGGUUCUUCGGACCUCACGCUAUCUUAUUUUCCUAGUUCGGAUUAGCUAGUUGGUGUGGUAAAGUCCUACCAAGGCUACGAUCCGUAACUGGUCUGAGAGGAUGAUCAGUCACACUGGAACUGAGACACGGUACAGACGACUACGGGAGGAAGCAGUGGGGAAUAUUGGACAAUGGGCGAAAGCAUGAUACAGCAAAGCCGCGUGUGUGGAGAAGGUCUUAGGAUUGUAAAGAACUUUAAGUUGGGAGGAAGGGAAGUAAGUUAAUACCUUGCUGUUUUGACGUUACCAAAAGAAUAAGCAACGGCUAACUUCGUG
rnacentral:rRNA from 1 species